GAAGAUGUAACGGGGCUAAGCCAGUCACCGAAGCUGCGGAUAUCCUUUAUUGGAUAUGGUAGGAGAGCGUUCUGUAAGCCUGCGAAGGUGUCUUGUAAAGGAUGCUGGAGGUAUCAGAAGUGCGAAUGCUGACAUGAGUAGCGAUAAUGGGGGUGAAAAGCCUCCACGCCGUAAGCCCAAGGUUUCCUGUUCAACGUUCAUCGGAGCAGGGUGAGUCGGCCCCUAAGGCGAGGCAGAGAUGCGUAGCUGAUGGGAAGCAGGUUAAUAUUCCUGCACCGUCGUAUGAUGCGAUGGGGGGACGGAUCGCGGAAGGUUGUCCAACUGUUGGAAUAGUUGGUUUUUGGCUCAUAGAAGGUACUUAGGCAAAUCCGGGUACGCAAUUCAAGGGGUUGAGACGAGCUGUCU
rnacentral:rRNA from 1 species